GAUGAACGCUGGCGGCGUGCCUAAUACAUGCAAGUCGAGCGAACAGACGAGGAGCUUCUCCUCUGACGUUAGCGGCGGACGGGUGAGUAACACGUGGAUAACCUACCUAUAAGACUGGGAUAACUUCGGGAAACCGGAGCUAAUACCGGAUAAUAUAUUGAACCGCAUGGUUCAAUAGUGAAAGACGGUUUUGCUGUCACUUAUAGAUGGAUCCGCGCCGCAUUAGCUAGUUGGUAAGGUAACGGCUUACCAAGGCAACGAUGCGUAGCCGACCUGAGAGGGUGAUCGGCCACACUGGAACUGAGACACGGUCCAGACUCCUACGGGAGGCAGCAGUAGGGAAUCUUCCGCAAUGGGCGAAAGCCUGACGGAGCAACGCCGCGUGAGUGAUGAAGGUCUUCGGAUCGUAAAACUCUGUUAUUAGGGAAGAACAAAUGUGUAAGUAACUAUGCACGUCUUGACGGUACCUAAUCAGAAAGCCACGGCUAACUACGUG
rnacentral:rRNA from 1 species